AGUCCUGUGGUGCAGUGGUUAUCACGUCUGUUUUACACGCCCAAGACCGCCUGUUCGAUCCCGGCCAGGACCU